rnacentral:rRNA from 1 species
UACGGAGGGGGCUAGCGUUGUUCGGAAUUACUGGGCGUAAAGCGCACGUAGGCGGCUUUGUAAGUUAGAGGUGAAAGCCCGGGGCUCAACUCCGGAACUGCCUUUAAGACUGCAUCGCUAGAAUUGUGGAGAGGUAAGUGGAAUUCCGAGUGUAGAGGUGAAAUUCGUAGAUAUUCGGAAGAACACCAGUGGCGAAGGCGACUUACUGGACACAUAUUGACGCUGAGGUGCGAAAGCGUGGGGAGCAAAGCAGG